GACGAACGCUGGCGGCGUGCUUAACACAUGCAAGUCGAACGAAGAGCGAUGGAAGCUUGCUUCUAUCAAUCUUAGUGGCGAACGGGUGAGUAACGCGUAAUCAACCUGCCCUUCAGAGGGGGACAACAGUUGGAAACGACUGCUAAUACCGCAUACGAUCUAACCUCGGCAUCGAGGAUAGAUGAAAGGUGGCCUCUACAUGUAAGCUAUCACUGAAGGAGGGGAUUGCGUCUGAUUAGCUAGUUGGAGGGGUAACGGCCCACCAAGGCGAUGAUCAGUAGCCGGUCUGAGAGGAUGAACGGCCACAUUGGGACUGAGACACGGCCCAGACUCCUACGGGAGGCAGCAGUGGGGAAUCUUCCGCAAUGGACGAAAGUCUGACGGAGCAACGCCGCGUGAGUGAUGACGGCCUUCGGGUUGUAAAGCUCUGUUAAUCGGGACGAAAGGCCUUCUUGCGAAUAGUGAGAAGGAUUGACGGUACCGG
rnacentral:rRNA from 1 species